CAUCAUCUUCAUUAUCACCUCCAUCUUCACCAUUGGGGGCCUUCAUCAUCUCCACCACCAUCAUCAUCAUCAUCAUCAUCGGAGCCUUCAUCACUUCCGCCAUCAUCAUCAUCAUCUUCAUCACCUCCACCAUCAUCAUCCUCGGGGCCUUCAUCGCCAUUUUUGGGUUCUUCCUCCUCAUCCUCGGGGCCUUCACCAUUGGGGCCUUCAUCGCCUCCACCAUCAUCAUCUUCAUCAUCAUCAUCGAAGCCUUCAUCACCUCCACCAUCAUCAUCCUCAGGGCCUUCAUCGUCGUUUCCGGCCUCUCCCUCCUCCUCCUCCUCCUCAGCCCCUCCCUUCAAUCUUCAUCCCCUCCUCCUCCUCCAUCAUCAUCAUCAGCGGGGCCUUCAUCGCCUCCACCACCACCAUCAUCAUCAUCAUUGCCUCCAUCUCCAGCACUGGGGCCUUCAUCACCACCACCAUCAUCAUCAUCACCUCCAUCUUCA
rnacentral:lncRNA from 1 species